UACGGGGGGGGCAAGCGUUGUUCGGAAUUACUGGGCGUAAAGGGCUCGUAGGCGGCCAACUAAGUCAGACGUGAAAUCCCUCAGCUUAACUGGGGAACUGCGUCUGAUACUGGAUGGCUUGGAUUCGGGAGAGGAAUGCGGAAUUCCUGGUGUAGCGGUGAAAUGCGCAGAUAUCAGGAGGAACACCGGUGGCGAAGGCGGUUCUCUGGGCAGUACCUGACGCUGAGGAGCGAAAGCGUGGGGAGCGAACAGG
rnacentral:rRNA from 1 species